UACGUAGGUCCCGAGCGUUGUCCGGAUUUAUUGGGCGUAAAGCGAGCGCAGGCGGUUUGAUAAGUCUGAAGUUAAAGGCUGUGGCUCAACCAUAGUUCGCUUUGGAAACUGUCAAACUUGAGUGCAGAAGGGGAGAGUGGAAUUCCAUGUGUAGCGGUGAAAUGCGUAGAUAUAUGGAGGACACCGGUGGCGAAAGCGGCUCUCUGGUCUGUAACUGACGCUGAGGCUCGAAAGCUGGGGAGCGAACAGGAUUAGAUAC
rnacentral:rRNA from 1 species